rnacentral:lncRNA from 1 species
GAAAACUUAGUUAAGAUACUUGAUGCAUAAAACAUGAUUUUCAAAAACACUUAAUCAAAGCAUCAGUUUAAGAAAAGAAUCUAUUCAUUUAUAGAAGAACAGAUUCAUUUUCUAUGCAGUAGAGGAUAUUUUGUAAAACAUGUGAAAAACAGUUUCAUAAAACUUGUGUUUGCUCUUAUCACAUGGUCAGGGGUUAAGAG